rnacentral:rRNA from 1 species
AUUGAACGCUGGAGGCAGGCUUAACACAUGCAAGUCGAGCGAGCGGCGGACGGGUGAGUAAUGUCUGGGAAACUGACUGAUGGAGGGGGAUAAAUAAUGGAAACGGUAGCUAAUACCGCAUACCAUCAGAUGUGCCCAGAUGGGAUUAGCUAGUAGGUGGGGUAAUGGCUCACUUAGGCGACGAUCCCUAGCUGGUCUGAGAGGAUGACCAGCAACACUGGAACUGAGACACGGUCCAGACUCCGCCGGGAGGCAGCAGUGGAGAAGAUUGCACAAUGGUCGCAAGCCUGAUGCAGCCAUGCCGCGUGUGUGAAGAAGGCCUUCGGGUUGUAAAGCACUGUCAGCGAGGAGGCGUUACUCGCAGAAGAAGCACCGGCUAACUCCGUGCUAGCAGCCGCGGUAAUUC